UAUGAACGCUAGCUACAGGCUUAACACAUGCAAGUCGAGGGGCAGCAUUUUAGUUUGCUUGCAAACUAAAGAUGGCGACCGGCGCACGGGUGAGUAACACGUAUCCAACCUGCCGAUAACUCGGGGAUAGCCUUUCGAAAGAAAGAUUAAUAUCCGAUAGUAUAUUAAAACCGCAUGGUUUUACUAUUAAAGAAUUUCGGUUAUCGAUGGGGAUGCGUUCCAUUAGUUUGUUGGCGGGGUAACGGCCCACCAAGACUACGAUGGAUAGGGGUUCUGAGAGGAAGGUCCCCCACAUUGGAACUGAGACACGGUCCAAACUCCUACGGGAGGCAGCAGUGAGGAAUAUUGGUCAAUGGACGAGAGUCUGAACCAGCCAAGUAGCGUGAAGGAUGACUGCCCUAUGGGUUGUAAACUUCUUUUAUAUGGGAAUAAAGUAUUCCACGUGUGGGAUUUUGUAUGUACCAUAUGAAUAAGGAUCGGCUAACUCCGUGCCAGCAGCCGCGGUAAUACGGAGGAUCCGAGCGUUAUCCGGAUUUAUUGGGUUUAAAGGGAGCGUAGGUGGAUUGUUAAGUCAGUUGUGAAAGUUUGCGGCUCAACCGUAAAAUUGCAGUUGAAACUGGCAGUCUUGAGUACAGUAGAGGUGGGCGGAAUUCGUGGUGUAGCGGUGAAAUGCUUAGAUAUCACGAAGAACUCCGAUUGCGAAGGCAGCUCACUAGACUGCAACUGACACUGAUGCUCGAAAGUGUGGGUAUCAAACAGGAUUAGAUACCCUGGUAGUCCACACAGUAAACGAUGAAUACUCGCUGUUUGCGAUAUACAGUAAGCGGCCAAGCGAAAGCAUUAAGUAUUCCACCUGGGGAGUACGCCGGCAACGGUGAAACUCAAAGGAAUUGACGGGGGCCCGCACAAGCGGAGGAACAUGUGGUUUAAUUCGAUGAUACGCGAGGAACCUUACCCGGGCUUAAAUUGCAUUUGAAUAAUCUGGAAACAGGUUAGCCGCAAGGCAAAUGUGAAGGUGCUGCAUGGUUGUCGUCAGCUCGUGCCGUGAGGUGUCGGCUUAAGUGCCAUAACGAGCGCAACCCUUAUCUUUAGUUACUAACAGGUCAUGCUGAGGACUCUAGAGAGACUGCCGUCGUAAGAUGUGAGGAAGGUGGGGAUGACGUCAAAUCAGCACGGCCCUUACGUCCGGGGCUACACACGUGUUACAAUGGGGGGUACAGAAGGCAGCUACCUGGCGACAGGAUGCUAAUCCCAAAAACCUCUCUCAGUUCGGAUCGAAGUCUGCAACCCGACUUCGUGAAGCUGGAUUCGCUAGUAAUCGCGCAUCAGCCAUGGCGCGGUGAAUACGUUCCCGGGCCUUGUACACACCGCCCGUCAAGCCAUGAAAGCCGGGGGUACCUGAAGUACGUAACCGCAAGGAGCGUCCUAGGGUAAAACUGGUA
rnacentral:rRNA from 1 species